UACGUAGGGUGCAAACGUUGUUCGGAAUCACUGGGCAUAAAGGGCGCGUAGGCGGUCUGAUAAGUCCUGUGUGAAAGCCCCCCGGCUCAACCGGGGGAACUGCACUGGAUACUGUCAGGCUAGAGUGUAGAAGAGGAGAGCGGAAUUCCUGGUGGAGCGGUGAAAUGCGUAGAUAUCAGGAGGAAUGCCAGUGGCGAAAGCGGCUCUCUGGUCUACUACUGACGCUGGAGGCGACGAAAGCUAGGGGAGCAAACGGG
rnacentral:rRNA from 1 species